CACAGGAAGCAUUAGCAUUCACCCUAUGUAGAAAUGCACCUAAUGAGCUAAAUAUUUCUAUGUUGUAGUCAUGCACCAGACCCCAUCUCAUUUCAUUCUGCAGAAGACAUGCACUGUGGGCUAUGUCUCAUAUUUACCUACCCUUCCCAUUAAUCCCUGCUUUCCUUUCAGGCUCAAAAUACAGCUUUCUACUGCAACACAAACUCCUUAGUGGCUUUCCCAAAUCCCCAAUCAAUUAAAAAUGGCUCUGCCUGGCUGGAUUUUUGCAGACCUUUGCUGAGGUUAAGGAUCAGUCACAAUUCCCCUCAUAUUACUUUCAUACAAAUACUAGGUCGGACACUGAUGCAGAGACUGUCAGGAGAAUUCAUAAAAACUCUCAUUCUCAUGGUCUUACAUCAAGCUAUGUUCUUAUCAAGGUGCCUGUGAAGUAAGAGAAAACGAUUUCUAAGCUAACAUUUGGAUAAUAAAGUGUUAUUCUAAGUUAAAUUUUUGAGUAUGUUAGCUUAACUGAGUAUUUCUUCCUGCCCUGUGGAGUUUCACAAAAUGGUUAGCACUUGGUGACACACCAAGGCUAGCUAUGAGGUGCUCCUGGAAUUUACUGAAAUUCUAACUAUAGGGACUAAUUUCAUGUUACAUGACUUGUACCUCACUUAAAAAAAAUAAACUACUACUGCAUCAAGUUCAAAGUCCAUUUAUGCAAUCUCUGAUGAUGAUACUUUGUAUUGAUGAAGAUACUUCAUAUUGAUGAAGAUACUUCUUCAUACAUGUUGGGGAUCAGCCUAUGACUUUCAUAUGCAAUCACAGAGCCUCCAAUUUAAGGCUGUAAUUCUCCAAAAUCAAAUCAUAAUAGAUGCUGGAAAUCAUCACACUCUCCUAGAUGAUUAGAUCUUAAUUCAUCCCAUUCCAAACUUUACUUGUAUGUGGAAAAGGAAUUUUAACUUUGAGCUCAAUGACAUGGAACAACACUUUAAGUUUUUCUUCAGAUGGGGCAAAUAUAUAGCUUUAUGACUAUCAGUCCAUUCAGUAUGGAAUCUAAUGAAAUGUUAACACUGAUAUUCUAAUUGAUUAACAAAGGAAAAUCCUGGAUUUGCGGCUGUGGUGCAUUGGGUUAAGAAUCCAACUGCAGCAGUGUGGGCAUCUGCAGAGUUGUGAGUUUGAUCCCAAGCCUGGUGCAGUGGGCUAAAGAAUCGACUGCUAACGAAGUUCACUGGGAACUUCCAUAUGCCAUGAGUGUGGCCAUGGGGGGGAAAAAAAGGAAAAUUCUUAUGGUAGAAAGAUGAUGUGCUUAUCUGCAGUAUAUUUCCCUGUGGAUGAACUGGAGUUUUAGCAUAAACCUCAUCCUGAGUCACAAGUUAACAAAUUCCUCCCUAAAUGGUAUGAAUUCUGUGUUUGUAAAGAUAUGCCUUUAGGUACUUUCUAUACAACAGUUCAAAGGGCCCCAAGUAAGUAAGUUCUCCAAUUAAAUUUCUUCCUAAAUAAAAUAUUAGCACUUUUGCUACGUUUUGUUGGGAGAACCAUUAGAUAGUAUACAGGCAAGUUUGAAUUUCACCUUGCUUUGUAGAUGAGAUUUAAAACAAUAUAAUUUUAACUUCCUCAAAAUGAGGUCUGUAUCUGAAAGGACCAAAAUCUAUGUUUUCUUUUGUUUCUAAUGAUCUGAAAUAGCAAACCAUGACAACUCUUGACAUGUAUGAGCAAAAUCUGAGCAGCAUGUUUUUAAAGCCUCCCUGGAAUAUUUAGCAAGUGUUCCAGAAAGCUUGAGGAACCAUACUAAAGCCUCUGUCUGCCAUGAAACUACCCAGGCUCUGUUACCCAAAAACUGACUUCAUCUCUUGGUGAGUGUGAAGCCAAAGCACAUAACCAAGCCAAAAUCUGGAGAAGAAAGGAUUUACUACUUACAGCCAAUAAGGAGAACACCAGGGAUCUUUCCCAAAGCAGUAUCUCCCCAAACAUCAGAACUGGGAAAGUUUUAAGCUAAGGGUAUAUGCAUAUUCAUGAAGGGGUGUAUGCAGAAGAGAAUUCAGCACAGAAUAGGGGCUAAAGGCUGAGAGAGUCCAAGCUUUAAUUGACUGAAGUCAUAAGGGGCAGAAAAAGUGAAAAUCAUCAUCCCUUAGGUUCCAACCAGUCUGGGGUCUCAGCAUGAAGUUACCGUCCUGAACUAUGGCUUCUUGAGUCCUUUUUUUUCAUUUCUGCAUUCCCUCAUUUCUCUCAACAUCCCUAAUUAUGGACACUAAUUCAAGGGCAAGCAUUGUGGUCAGGCUUAGAUCACAGAAUGGCUUAGGCCAAAAAUGGCUUCUCUUAAGUCAAGAAGGCUAUGCCUGGUUCUUUUUCCACCAGGGACUCCCCCACCCCUAUCUGCCUACAGCUCCAUUCACUGAUUAACAAAUGUGGACCAAGCACCUUCUAUGUGCCAAGCCCAGUGCCACUCAUGGGGAAACUGUCCAAAAUGAGCCAAGGUCCUCUGUUGCAAUGAGCUGGGAAACAGAGAGCACUACAACAGAAUCUGCCAAGUGAACAGGGCAGAGGGAAGCCUGGGACAUCAGAAGGGACACCGAGAUGGCCCCAAAUGGAGUAAAAGAUGAGGAGGAUCCAGGCACGGGAGGAGAAAGGAGGGAUUCAGGAAGGAAGACACAGAAAUGCAAAGACACUGAGACAAACUAAGUCAGAAAGCACCAUGGCAUUUCUGUUAAUUUUGUUAGAAUGGAAAUGGGUGGAGGGUGGGUAGCAUGGGAUAAAACUGAAAAAGCAGGAAGGGGCCAGACACCACAGGGCCCGGUUAGCCAUGGUGAUACGUUUCUGCAUCUUACUUUCAUGUCAUCAGCAAUACAGUGAAGGCAUUUACUAGGAUGCUCAAUUUGCUUUAAAUUCGGUCCUAUAAUUCCAUCUUUGGGAAGCAUAAACACACAAUUUCCGUUCCAAAACCACCUGUGGGUUUCAUUCAUCAUUUCAAGUGAACUACUAUCUUAGCACGGCAGCAGGAAAAACUGGAGACUCGGCAAAGAAUUUAGGGAGAUGACAGCUCAUUGAUCAAACAUGAAUGUGAAUGCCAUGGUUACUGUAGACAGUGCAGCAACUUCUAUCCCCAAAGUCUGACCGAACCUCAGAUGUUGGAAACUUUUCUGUGGUGCUAAUUGGCAGGGCUCCUAAAGUAUAACUUUCAUAUGAAACCUGGCAUUUCCCACUUCCACAUUAAAUAUUUCAUUACUCAUAUGCUUCAUGGUUGAGACCCUGCCACAUGGAAGCACUUUGUAAAUAAUCAAAAUAUGCAAUCAAGAUA
rnacentral:lncRNA from 1 species